rnacentral:tRNA from 1 species
AGUAAAGUCAGCUAAAAAAGCUAUCGGGCCCAUACCCCGAAAAUGUCCACGAGACCUCUACUA